rnacentral:rRNA from 1 species
UACGGGGGGGGCAAGCGUUGUUCGGAAUUACUGGGCGUAAAGGGCUCGUAGGCGGCCAACUAAGUCAUACGUGAAAUCCCUCGGCUUAACCGGGGAACUGCGUCUGAUACUGGAUGGCUUGAGUUCGGGAGAGGGAUGCGGAAUUCCAGGUGUAGCGGUGGAAUGCGCAGAUAUCAGGAGGAACACCGGUGGCGAAGGCGGUUCUCUGGGCCUGUACUGACGCUGAGGAGCGAAAGCGUGGGGAGCGAACAGG